rnacentral:rRNA from 1 species
UACGUAGGUGACCAGCGUUGUCCGGAUUUACUGGGCGUAAAGAGCGCGCAGGCGGUCGUUCAAGUCGAGUGUGAAAGCCCCCGGCUCAACUGGGGAGGGUCAUUCGAUACUGAUCGACUCGAAGGCAGGAGAGGGAAGCGGAAUUCCCGGUGUAGUGGUGAAAUGCGUAGAUAUCGGGAGGAACACCAGUGACGAAGGCGGCUUCCUGGCCUGUUCUUGACGCUGAGGCGCGAAAGCUAGGGGAGCAAACGGG